AUAUAUAUAUGUUCUUUGAAGGUGUAGAUAAUCAGUAAAUUGUUGUGCUCUUUUUGGACAAAGAAUAAUUGAGUUGAUAUUUGUAAUUUUUAAAAACUAAAGAGAAGUUUGGUGACCUCUAUCAACACAAUCAUGUGAGUCAUGAGAGUAACUUCAAUUCAAAGCAAAGAUACUUCAAGAACUCAAGUCAAUUAUGCGACGGUCCGUGCAGCCACAGGAGAAAACCAGGCCGUUGCAUGGCAUCCAAGAACGAGGAUUAACCAUGGGAGCUACCGUGGGCCGAGGAAACACCUAGUGAAUCCCACCGUGAAACAAGAUGUUUACACAGUUCCUGAGUCUUCAGCUUGAAUGAAAGAAUUUACAAAGAAGAUCAGUUUCUAGCAGCAAGCAAUAAAAGAUGCUAUGUAUUUUCUUCAUGUUGAAGUAAAAAAAAAAACCAAAGUGGAUAAACAAAGUUUGUUUGAGUUUGAAAGUA